rnacentral:rRNA from 1 species
GAAGCGGCAACAGCUCAAAUUUGAAAUCUGGCGCAAGCCCGAGUUGUAAUUUGUAGAGGAUGCUUCAGGGCAGCGGCCGGUCUAGGUUCCUUGGAACAGGACGUCGUAGAGGGUGAGAAUCCCGUAUGCGACCGGUUGGCACCCGUCACGUAGCUCCUUCGACGAGUCGAGUUGUUUGGGAAUGCAGCUCUAAAUGGGUGGUAAAUUCCAUCUAAAGCUAAAUACCGGCCAGAGACCGAUAGCGCACAAGUAGAGUGAUCGAAAGAUGAAAAGCACUUUGGAAAGAGAGUUAAAAAGCACGUGAAAUUGUUGAAAGGGAAGCGCAUGCAACCAGACUCGUCGGCGGCGUUCCGCCGGUCUUCUGACCGGUCUACUCGCCGCCGGCGGGCCAGCAUCAUCUGGGCGCGCCGGACAAAGGCGCGGGGAAUGUAGCUCCUCGGAGUGUUAUAGGCCCGCGCACAAUACGGCGCCGCCCGGGUGAGGUCCGCGCUCCGGCUAGGAUGCUGGCGUAAUGGUUGUACGCGGCCCGUCUUGAAACACGGACCAAGGAGUCUAACAUCUAUGCGAGUGUUCGGGUGUCAAACCCCUGCGCGGAAUGAAAGUGAACGGAGGUGGGAAGCGCGAGCUGCACCAUCGACCGAUCCUGAUGUCUUCGGAUGGAUUCGAGUAAGAGCAUAGCUGUUGGGACCCGAAAGAUGGUGAACUAAACUUGGCCAGAGCGAAGCCAGAGGAAACUCUGGUGGA